rnacentral:rRNA from 1 species
AUUGAACGCUGGCGGCAUGCCUUACACAUGCAAGUCGAACGGCAGCACGGGGGGCAACCCCUGGUGGCGAGUGGCGAACGGGUGAGUAAUAUAUCGGAACGUACCCUGUAGCGGGGGAUAACGCGUCGAAAGAUGUGCUAAUACCGCAUACGCUCUACGGAGGAAAGCGGAGGACCGCAAGGCUUCGCACUACAGGAGCGGCCGAUAUCGGAUUAGCUAGUUGGCGGGGUAACGGCCCACCAAGGCGACGAUCCGUAGCUGGUCUGAGAGGACGAUCAGCCACACUGGAACUGACACACGGUCCAGACUCCUACGGGAGGCAGCAGUGGGGAAUUUUGGACAAUGGGCGCAAGCCUGAUCCAGCCAUGCCGCGUGAGUGAAGAAGGCCUUCGGGUUGUAAAGCUCUUUCGGCGGGGACGAAACGGUUCGUGCUAACACCACGGACUAAUGACGGUACCCGAAGAAGGAGCACCGGCUAACUACGUGCCAGCAGCCGCAGUAA